GCAAGGGCGUGUACUGGACGUCCUGGCCCUUCCCUCCGGUUCUCCGCCGGUGCUCUUGACUGAGUGUCGGCGGCGGCCGGGAACGUUUACUUUGAAAAAAUUAGAGUGUUCAAAGCAGGCUCUCGAGCCUGGAUAAUGGUGCAUGGAAUAAUGGAAUAGGACCUCGGUUCUAUUUUGUUGGUUUUCGGAGCGCGAGGUAAUGAUUAAGAGGGACAGACGGGGGCAUUCGUACUGUGCCGUUAGAGGUGAAAUUCUUGGAUCGGCGCAAGACGAACGACUGCGAAAGCAUUUGCCAAGAAUGUUUUCUUUAAUCAAGAGCGAAAGUCAGAGGUUCGAAGACGAUCAGAUACCGUCCUAGUUCUGACUAUAAACGAUGCCAACUAGCGAUCGGGGGGCGUUACAUUGACGACCCCUCCGGCAGCUUACGGGAAACCAAAGUCUUUGGGUUCCGGGGGAAGUAUGGUUGCAAAGCUGAAACUUAAAGGAAUUGACGGAAGGGCACCACCAGGAGUGGAGCCUGCGGCUUAAUUUGACUCAACACGGGAAAUCUCACCCGGCCCGGACACAGUGAGGAUUGACAGAUUGAGAGCUCUUUCUUGAUUCUGUGGGUGGUGGUGCAUGGCCGUUCUUAGUUGGUGGAGCGAUUUGUCUGGUUAAUUCCGAUAACGAACGAGACUCUGGCGUGCUAAAUA
rnacentral:ncRNA from 1 species